AUACGGAGGAUGCAAGCGUUAUCCGGACUUAUUGGGUUUAAAGGGUGCGUAGGCGGUUUGCUAAGCGGGAGGUGAAAUGCCGGCGCUCAACGUCGGAAGUGCCUCCCGAACUGGUGGACUGGAAUGACUCUGCCGUGGGAGGAAUGUGUAGUGUAGCGGUGAAAUGGUUAGAGAUUACCCAGAACACCGAAUGCGAAGGCAUCUCACGAAGAGGUGAUUGACGCUGAGGCACGAAAGCGUGGGGAACAAACAGGAUUAGAUACCCUGGUAAUCCACGCAGUAAACGAUGAUGGCUAACCGCUGGGCUUAUCAGUUCAGUGGCCAAGCGAAAGCGAUAAGCCAUCCACCUGGGGAGUACGACCGCAAGGUUGAAACUUAAAGAAAUUGACGGGG
rnacentral:rRNA from 1 species